rnacentral:rRNA from 1 species
AGUACGGCCGCAAGGCUAAAACUCAAACGAAUUGACGGGGACCCGCACAAGCAGCGGAGCGUGUGGUUUAAUUCGAUGCUACACGAAGAACCUUACCUGGGUUUGACAUGUAGGUGGUAGCGAAGUGAAAGCGGAGCGACCCUUUUGGGAGCCUACACAGGUGCUGCAUGGCUGUCGUCAGCUCGUGCCGUGAGGUGUCGGGUUAAGUCCCGUAACGAGCGCAACCCUUGUCCUUAGUUACAAGUGUCUAAGGAGACUGCCGGUGACAAACCGAAGGAAGGUGGGGAUGACGUCAAGUCAGCAUGGCCCUUAUGUCCAGGGCGACACACACGCUACAAUGGCCGGUACAAAGGGCAGCGCAGCCGCGAGGUGAAGCGAAUCCCAACAAAGCCGGUCCCAGUUCGGAUUGCAGGCUGCAACCCGCCUGCAUGAAGUCGGAGUUGCUAGUAACCGCGCGUCAGCCAUAGUGCGGUGAAUACGUUCCCGGGUCUUGUA